CGGUAAACGCUGGGUAGCCAAGUGCGGAGAGGAUAACUGCUGAAAGCAUAUAAGUAGUAAGCCCACCCCAAGAUGAGUGCUCUCUCCUCCGACUUCCCUAGAGCCUCCGGUAUCACAGCCGAGACAGCGACGGGUUCUCCACUCAUACGGGGAUGGAGCGACAGAAGUAUGGAAAUAGGAUAAGGUAGCGGCGAGACGAGCCGUUUAAAUAGGUGUCAAGUGGAAGUGCAGUGAUGUAUGCAGCUGAGGCAUCCUAACGAACGAACGAUUUGAACCU
rnacentral:ncRNA from 1 species